GGGGUGGGGGCCGGGGGGGAGGACAUUAGGUCCCCCCUAAUUAGUAUUUAGGGCCCUCACCCACCUAUUGUCCUCCCUAAAGUAAAGUAAUGGGGGGACCUAUUGUCCUCCCACCCCGGCCCCCACCCCUGAGUGGCGGGUGGGGGCCCUAAAUCAAAUAGGGGGGACCUAAUGCCCCCCCCGGCCCCCACCCUUGAGCGGUGGGUGGAGGCCCUAAAUACUAAUUAGGGGGGGACCUAAUGUCCUCCUCCCUGGCCCCCACCCCUGAGCAGUGGGUGGGGGCCCUAAAUUAGACAUUAGGUCCUCCCCCC